rnacentral:rRNA from 1 species
GUASCGGUGCGAGCGUUAAUCGGAAUUACUGGGCGUAAAGCGUGCGCAGGCGGUUUUGUAAGUCAGAUGUGAAAUCCCCGGGCUCAACCUGGGAACUGCGUUUGAAACUACAAGGCUAGAGUGUGGCAGAGGGGGGUGGAAUUCCACGUGUAGCAGUGAAAUGCGUAGAGAUGUGGAGGAACACCGAUGGCGAAGGCAGCCCCCUGGGUUAACACUGACGCUCAGGCACGAAAGCGUGGGGAGCAAACAGGAUUAGAUACCCUGGUAGUCCACGCCCUAAACGAUGUCAACUAGUUGUCGGGUCUUAACGGACUUGGUAACGUAGCUAACGCGUGAAGUUGACCGCCUGGGGAGUACGGUCGCAAGAUUA